UUACCAGGCACGUUAAGGUGGGCGACUCUAAGGAGACUGCCGUGACAAACCGGAGGAAGGUGGGGAUGACGUCAAGUCAUCAUGGCCCUUACGGCCUGGGCUACACACGUGCUACAAUGGUCGGUACAAAGGGUUGCCAAGCCGCGAGGUGGAGCUAAUCCCAUAAAACCGAUCGUAGUCCGGAUCGCAGUCUGCAACUCGACUGCGUGAAGUCGGAAUCGCUAGUAAUCGUGAAUCAGAAUGUCACGGUGAAUACGUUCCCGGGCCUU
rnacentral:rRNA from 1 species